rnacentral:rRNA from 1 species
UACGUAGGGGGCAAGCGUUGUCCGGAAUCAUUGGGCGUAAAGCGCGCGUAGGCGGCCCGGUAAGUCCGUUGUGAAAGUCGAAGGCUUAACCUUCGAAAGCCGAUGGAUACUGCCGGGCUAGAGUACGGAAGAGGCGAGUGGAAUUCCUGGUGUAGCGGUGGAAUGCGCAGAUAUCAGGAGGAACACCAAUAGCGAAGGCAGCUCGCUGGGACGUUACUGACGCUGAGGCGCGAAAGCGUGGGGAGCGAACAGG